AGAUAACAACAAAAAUACUGAAGUAGGGCAUUUCAUCAAAGUGGUGGUCAAGUAUGUCGCAAGGCACUUGGAUAAGUUAAACGGGGCAUUAUUCUCUGAAAUCUCGCUUGUUAUUAUAUAAGAUUAAAAAGAAAGCUAAUCCUAUUUCAUCAAAGGGGCGGCCAGCGACAGGAGCUAGAAAGCUAAGUAGAUUCCAAAACAGAAUCCUACGGUCACCAAGUCUUGUGUCGGUUUACAAUCACCAACUUGGGCGUGGGGAUUUGGCUCUCGGAAGAUAAGCAUGGAAGCAGCAGAUCGACAGGGGAGAAAGCAUCAGCGCGGAACUGCAACUUUGCCCCUAGCCAUGUUUGGGAUGGCUAACCUGCUGGUCCCCUGGAUUGAAGUGGUUGCUGCGGGAACCACCGGAGGUCCCCCGGAUUUCUCCCCUACUCUGACGAGUGCCAUUGGGAAUGGGGACGGUGUCGCCGCGGCGGCGCGACGAGCAGAUGGGACUUUUUUUUUGUUGUUGUUGUUUUUUUACAAAGAGAGAGGAGGAGGAAGGAAGCCGAUG
rnacentral:lncRNA from 1 species